GCAGCUGCGCAGCCGGCAGGCGCAGCUGGAAGAUGCACAGCUUGAGCUGAACCAGAAGAACUCGGAGCUGGUGCGGACGGCUGAGCGUCUGCGGAAGCUGGAGACGAGCGAGACCAGCGCCCGGACAGAGGCCGACCGGCUGGCGCAGCAGCUGACCGCACAAAACAAGCAGCUGACGCAGCUGGAGACCCAGCUGGCCACGGCCAAGCUGGCGGUGGCGGCGG